GAUGAACGCUGGCGGCGUGCUUAACACAUGCAAGUCGAACGAAGCACCUUGAUUUGUUUCUUCGGAUGAAGAUCUUGGUGACUGAGUGGCGGACGGGUGAGUAACGCGUGGGUAACCUGCCUCAUACAGGGGGAUAACAGUUAGAAAUGACUGCUAAUACCGCAUAAGACCACAGCACCGCAUGGUGCAGGGGUAAAAACUCCGGUGGUAUGAGAUGGACCCGCGUCUGAUUAGGUAGUUGGGGGGGUAACGGCCUACCAAGCCGACGAUCAGUAGCCGAGCAGAGAGGGUGGGCGGCCACAUUGAGGGUAGGACGCAGUCGGGAAUCCUACGGGAUGGGGCAGUGGGGGAUAUUGCACAAUGGCGGAAGCGCUGAAGCAGCUACGCCGCGAGAACGAUGAAGUAUUUCGAUAUGUAAAGCGCUAUCAACAGGGAAGAAAAUGACGGUACCUGACUAGAAAGCACCGGCUAAAUACGUG
rnacentral:rRNA from 1 species